GAGUGGCGUAAGGGUGCGUAACACGUAUGCAAUCUACCCGCAACAGGAGGAUAGCUCCCCGAAAGGGGAAUUAACCCUCCAUGAGAUCACACGAGGGCAUCUGAGGGUGAUUAAAUCUGGAGGUUGCGGAUGAGCAUGCGUCUGAUUAGCUAGUUGGCAGUGUAACGGACUACCAAGGCGAUGAUCAGUAGGGGAACUGAGAGGUUGAUCCCCCACACUGGCACUGAGAUACGGGCCAGACUCCUACGGGAGGCAGCAGUAGGGAAUAUUGGUCAAUGGGUGAGAGCCUGAACCAGCCAUGCCGCGUGCAGGAAGAAGGCCUUCUGGGUUGUAAACUGCUUUUGCCGGGGGAUAAAAGACCCUUGCGAGGGAAAUUGAAGGUACCUGGUGAAUAAGCCACGGCUAACUACGUGCCAGCAGCCGCGGUAAUACAGAGGGGGCUAGCGUUAUUCGGAAUUAUUGGGCGUAAAGGGCGCGUAGGCGGCCUUGCGUGUCUUCCGUGAAAUCCCUCGGCUUAACUGAGGACGUGCGGAAGAAACUGCAGGGCUUGAGUCCGGGAGAGGGGGUGGAAUUCCCAGUGUAGCGGUGAAAUGCGUAGAUAUUGGGAGGAACACCGGUGGCGAAGGCGGCCCCCUGGACCGGUAC
rnacentral:rRNA from 1 species